rnacentral:rRNA from 1 species
GAUGAACGCUGGCGGCGUGCCUAAUACAUGCAAGUCGAGCGAACAGACGAGGAGCUUGCUCCUCUGACGUUAGCGGCGGACGGGUGAGUAACACGUGGAUAACCUACCUAUAAGACUGGGAUAACUUCGGGAAACCGGAGCUAAUACCGGAUAAUAUAUUGAACCGCAUGGUUCAAUAGUGAAAGACGGUUUUGCUGUCACUUAUAGAUGGAUCCGCGCCGCAUUAGCUAGUUGGUAAGGUAACGGCUUACCAAGGCAACGAUGCGUAGCCGACCUGAGAGGGUGAUCGGCCACACUGGAAUUGAGACACGGUCCAGACUCCUACGGGAGGCAGCAGUAGGGAAUCCUCCGCAAUGGGCGAAAGCCUGACGGAGCAACGCCGCGUGAGUGAUGAAGGUCUUCGGAUCGUAAAACUCUGUUAUUAGGGAAGAACAAAUGUGUAAGUAACUAUGCACGUCUUGACGGUACCUAAUCAGAAAGCCACGGCUAACUACGUG